rnacentral:tRNA from 95 species
GGCGGAUGUAGCCAAGUGGAUCAAGGCAGUGGAUUGUGAAUC